rnacentral:rRNA from 1 species
AUUGAACGCUGGCGGCAUGCUUUACACAUGCAAGUCGAACGGUAACAGGGUGCUUGCACCGCUGACGAGUGGCGAACGGGUGAGUAAUGCGUCGGAACGUGCCGAGUAGUGGGGGAUAACGCAGCGAAAGUUGUGCUAAUACCGCAUACGUACUGAGGUAGAAAGUGGGGGACCUUCGGGCCUCACGCUAUUCGAGCGGCCGACGUCUGAUUAGCUAGUAGGUGAGGUAAAGGCUCACCUAGGCGACGAUCUGUAGCGGGUCUGAGAGGAUGAUCCGCCACACCGGGACUGAGACACGGCCCAGACUCCUACGGGAGGCAGCAGUGGGGAAUAUUGGACAAUGGGCGGAAGCCUGAUCCAGCCAUGCCGCGUGUGUGAAGAAGGCCUUUUGGUUGUAAAGCACUUUAAGCGAGGAGGAGGCUACCUGGAUUAAUACUCUAGGAUAGUGGACGUUACUCGCAGAAUAAGCACCGGCUAACUCUGUGCCAGCCGCCGCAGUAACAC